rnacentral:rRNA from 1 species
GCUUGUCUCAAAGAUUAAGCCAUGCAUGUCUUAGUGUAAAUAACUCUUAUGAAACUGCGAAUGGCUCAUUAAAUCAGUUAUCGUUUAUUUGAUGGUCCCUUACUACAUGGAUAACCGUAGUAAUUCUAGAGCUAAUACAUGCACAAAGGCCCGACUCACGAAGGGCUGUAUUUAUUAGAUACAAUCAAACGCACCAACAUAAAACCUUGGUGAUUCAUAAUAACUGUUCGGAUCGUAUGGCUUUUUGCCGACGACAGAUCAUUCAAAUUUCUGCCCUAUCAGCUUUCGACGGUACUGUAGUGGACUACCGUGGCAUUAACGGGUGACGGAGAAUUAGGGUUCGAUUCCGGAGAGGGAGCCUGAGAAAUGGCUACCACAUCCAAGGAAGGCAGCAGG